rnacentral:rRNA from 1 species
UUGACCUCAAAUCGGGUGAGACUACCCGCUGAACUUAAGCAUAUCAAUAGCCGGAGGAA